GCUGGUCUCAAACCCCUGACCUCAGGUGAUCCGCGUGCCUCAGCCUCCAAAUGCUGUGAUUACCGGCAUGAGCCCAAUGUGCUCAGCCAAAUGCCAGUUUUAUAGCUGCGACGUUUGGUUUCUCAAUCUUUCAGGUGAAAUAUUACUUAUUUCACAAACUAGCCUUAGUUGAAAAUACGCACACAUAGAAAACAUGCAAUCUCACAAUCACAUUAAGCAAUGAAGCUGACUUGUAACAUCGACAGCCCCAAGUCACUAAAUGAAUAAAGGGACAUGAGGACCACAGCCUUUUUCUUCUGAGCUGCACAUAUUUGCCAACAGCAUGGAGAAUAUGUGCAUUUAUUUUCAAGGACAGAGAAGGCAGAGUAUGUUAAACUACCCUCCUACCUAACAACUCAUGGGUAAGGAUAACAGAAACAGGAAAAAGAAUAACAGGUGGGAGAAAGCUUAAAGAAGUCAAUUAAAGGGCUGAAAUCCUGGUGCCUGUUGGCAAAAAGAAAGGCAACAAGAAGACGCCUGUGGACUGGCUGCAGCGCAGCCAAGGGACUAGAUGCUUUCACAGGCGCAUCAAGACUAAGGUGAUGCUGAAUUACCUAUCGCGGGACUACAAAUCUGGCCAGCUACCUGCUUUUGUAAAUAAAGUUUUACUGGCACUCAGCCACACUGACUCAUUUAUGUAAUGUCUGUGACUGCUUCCACACUAGAAGGAAGGGCUGAGUGGCUGCAGUAGCUGGCAAAGCCUAAACUACUUUCUGCCAGGCCCUUUACUGAAAAAGUCUGCUGACUUCACCUAUGCUAAACAACUAACAUUUCAAAAAUUAAUGUGGUCACCAUUUUAUCCAGGAAAUUGAAUUUCAAAAUGAUAUGGGCAAGUUUAUUUCUUCCUCCAUGCCUCUCUUUUCUCAACUGUAAAACUGGGAUAACAAGCAUGCCUACUUCCCAAGACUGCUGGACAAUUAAAUAAGCUGGAUAAUGCAGGAUUAAAGGAGCUAACAGAAAGCACUUAGAAUGCUCUAUAAAUACCAGCUAUCCAUUAAAUACUAUUGUAUUGCAACCAGGUACUUGUGGCUUGGGGUAAAAUUCCCCAUGGAAUUUAAAAUAUGCUGUAACUCUAAAUAAAUGAUGGUACAAAUAUGCAAUGGGUUAUUCUGCAGCUGUAAAAAAGAAUGAAGACAUUUAAUGUACUGAUAUGGAAAGAUUACAAUAUAUCCAACAAGCAAAAAAAAAAGAAAUGCAAGCUGCAGAACAGUGGAUAUAGCACUUGCCUUUUAUAUUUUAAAAAGGAGAAAAAUU